UCCUGGUUUGUGUUUCAUGCAGCGUUGGUCAGGAUCCUGUCAGGAUGGGCAAGAGAAGGCCCAUAGAUCUAUGCGGCCCCGGCCAAUGGCUAUCUUAACAAUGCAAUACUAAUCGUAGCACGUGCUGUGGUGGCAAAAGGCUUUGGAGUUUGGGAUGUGACAGUCAAUGGUCACGCGACGCACUGCGCCCUGCAGCAUAUGCGCGUGCAUCGCCGCCACCUCAAGCGUACCGUACCCUGUCGUGGAG
rnacentral:lncRNA from 1 species